AUCCUGUUAGGUGUCAAGGAUGCCACCUUUGAGGUGGGUAGCAUGGACUGGGGGGAGUUCUUUGUUAGCAUGGAGCUUUUCGACAGGGCGCUGAACUUCAAAUGGGAGAUCAUCAUAGUCUAUGGCCCUGCCGACCACCGUCGUUCAGCGACAUUUCUUGAUGAGCUCAAGAAUAAGGUGUCUGCCGCCCACUUCCCGGUCGUCGUGGGCGGCGACUUCAACCUCCUCCGAUUUGCGGAGGACAAAAACAACGACCUAGUGAACUUCCCGCGGAUGCAGAUGUUCAAUGACUGCAUUGUUGACAUCAGUCUGCGGGAAUUAGAUAGGAUUGGUGCCAGAUUCACCUGGACCAAUCGCCAGGCCGACCCGACCCGCUCCGUCCUGGACCGCGUCUUGGUCUCGCCUGAGUGGGAGAUGCGGUGUCCCCUUGCCUACCUCCGCGCCAUUACUCGUAUUGGCUCGGACCACGUUCCCCUGCUGCUCUCUUCUCAGGACGAACGC
rnacentral:rRNA from 1 species